UACGUAGGGGGCGAGCGUUGUCCGAAGUUACUGGGCGUAAAGCGCGCGUAGGCGGUUAUUUAAGUCUGGGGUGAAAGGUUCAGCGCUCAACGUGAACAUUGCCUUGGAUACUGGAUGACUUGAGUCUGACAGAGGGAAACGGAAUUCCUGGUGUAGCGGUGAAAUGCGUAGAUAUCAGGAGGAACACCGGUGGCGAAGGCGGUUUCCUGGGUUAAGACUGACGCUGAGGUGCGAAAGCGUGGGGAGCGAACGGG
rnacentral:rRNA from 1 species